UGUGAUGGGGAGCGAAAUCUAGUAGCGAAGUAGCUGAUUUCACACUGUCAAGAAAAGUCUCUAUCGAGGUUAAAGGUACCCGUACCGCAAACCGACACAGGCGGGUGAGGAGAGUAUCCUAAGGCCCGCGAGAGAACUGUUGUUAAGGAACUCGGCAAAAUGACUCCGCAACUCAGGGAUACUGGGUGCCACCAUCCGGCGGCUGCAGCGAAUAGGCCCAAGC
rnacentral:rRNA from 1 species